rnacentral:rRNA from 1 species
UACGUAGGGUGCAAGCGUUAAUCGGAAUUACUGGGCGUAAAGCGUGCGCAGGCGGCUUUGCAAGACAGAUGUGAAAUCCCCGGGCUUAACCUGGGAACUGCAUUUGUGACUGCAUGGCUAGAGUGCGGCAGAGGGGGAUGGAACUCCGCGUGUAGCAGUGAAAUGCGUAGAUAUGCGGAGGAACACCGAUGGCGAAGGCAAUCCCCUGGGCCUGCACUGACGCUCAUGCACGAAAGCGUGGGAGCAAACAGG